rnacentral:rRNA from 1 species
CACUCCUACGGGAGGCAGCAGUGGGGAAUUUUGGACAAUGGGCGAAAGCCUGAUCCAGCAAUGCCGCGUGAGUGAAGAAGGCCUUCGGGUUGUAAAGCUCUUUUGUCAGGGAAGAAACGGUGAAAGCUAAUAUCUUUUGCUAAUGACGGUACCUGAAGAAUAAGCACCGGCUAACUACGUGCCAGCAGCCGCGGUAAUACGUAGGGUGCAAGCGUUAAUCGGAAUUACUGGGCGUAAAGCGUGCGCAGGCGGUUUUGUAAGUCUGAUGUGAAAUCCCCGGGCUCAACCUGGGAAUUGCAUUGGAGACUGCAAGGCUAGAAUCUGGCAGAGGGGGGUAGAAUUCCACGUGUAGCAGUGAAAUGCGUAGAUAUGUGGAGGAACACCGAUGGCGAAGGCAGCCCCCUGGGUCAAGAUUGACGCUCAUGCACGAAAGCGUGGGGAGCAAACAGGAUGAGAAACCCUUGUAGUCCCAUG